CCGCCAGCUCUAAAAAUAGACAUGAGAGAAAAGAGGAGCUGUGCUGGAGUGGAAGGGAAGCGAGCAGGAAGGGGAGGAAGAUGGCAGCUGGUAGUGUGGAUCAGUGCAUUCCAGACUGGGCCUAUGGCCAUACCUCAUCCUCUCCGUUUGGUGGUGGCCAUGCCAGACUCUGCAGGACCGCUCUGUCCAGCAGUGGACCAUUGAGGAAAAAGGGGUCCGGCGGUGGGAUGCUCUCGACGCCCCCAUGUGGGACACAUGCAGCCCUGGUGGCCACUGUCCUCAAAAAAAAAAAAAGUGUGAGUUGGUUAAGAGUUCAGCUGUGAAGACUAGAAACAGAUGAGACCAACAGCGAUGGAGAAAAGAAGGGAGGAGUGUGCGAUGAUGUAAUGGUGUGGCUUGCUCCCUCAUUAGGAUCCAGUUGAAAGGAAAGUAAAACUGUUUCUGUGGCGCCAGAACAGGAGAGAAGAUUUCUUUGGUUUGUCUUUUACUCAGGUGUUUGCAGAGCUUGAAUGGUCAAAAGUAAAUGAUUUCUCCUAUAAAUCAUGUUGUGCACGACUCCUAGAACUCAUAAAACAACAACAGCACUUAUUUAUUUAGAUGUCUUAAAAAGAAAUAAACAGGUUAGAAUUUGUGGUCGUAUGAUCCGGUCUGCAAUGCUUAAUAAUAAAAAUGCAAACAUUUCAGGAUUUUAUUGUUAUUAUUGUUUAAAGGGUUUAGAAACCUUUGCAGGAUCAUUUAAAGUUUUUAUAAGUUAAUAUGCUUGAUUUUUAACUGUCCAAAAGCUUUGAAAAAAGGAAAAAAAAGAAAA